rnacentral:rRNA from 1 species
GACGAACGCUGGCGGCGUGCCUAAUACAUGCAAGUAGAACGCAGUUGCGAACGGGUGAGUAACGAGUAGGUAACUGCCUUAUCGCGGGGGAUAACUAUUGGAAACGAUAGGUAAAACCGCAUACUGUGAGAUGGACCUGAGUUGUUUUAGCGAGUUGGUGGGGUAAAGGGUCACCAAGGCGACGAUACAUAGCCGACCUUGAAGGGGGAUCGGCCCACCUGGGACUGGGGAACGGCCCCAACUCCUACGGGGGGGCACAAUAGGGGAACUUCGGCAAUUGGCGGAAAUCUGGACGAGCAAAGGCGCGGGAGUGAAGAAGGUUUUCCGGUCUUUAAGCUCUGUUGUUAGAGAAGCGGUAACUAACCAGAAAGGGACGGCUAACUACGUGCCAGCCGCCGCGGUAAUAC